rnacentral:rRNA from 1 species
UACGUAGGGUGCGAGCGUUGUCCGGAAUUAUUGGGCGUAAAGAGCUCGUAGGCGGUGUGUCGCGUCGGCCGUGAAAACCUGGGGCUUAACUCUGGGCGUGCGGUCGAUACGGGCAUCACUAGAGUUCGGCAGGGGAGACUGGAAUUCCUGGUGUAGCGGUGAAAUGCGCAGAUAUCAGGAGGAACACCGGUGGCGAAGGCGGGUCUCUGGGCCGAUACUGA